UAAAAUAACCGAUCUUAAAAGUACUUUUAAGAUUGGUUAUUUUAUGACCGAUUUUAAAAGUGCUACUUUUAAAACCGGUUAUUUAA
rnacentral:miRNA from 1 species